rnacentral:misc_RNA from 1 species
CCAGUGCCGCCGGCACGGGCCCUCUGGGCCUGCGUCGGUCUGAGCUCCACCCGUGAAUACUGAACCUCAUGUUGCCUCGGCGGGCCCGCCGCCCAGCGGCCGUCGGGGGGUCCCCAGGGCGGUGUCUUCGCUGCCUUGGCCCCCGGGCCCGCGCCCGCCGACGGAUACUGAACUUCUGAUGGAACUAAUGGGCUGUCUGAGUGAUUGUCAAAUCGUUA